GGUCCCGUAGUGAAAUUCAUGUUGAGUUGCAAACUCAUUGAUGCACGUUAGAGGCGUGUCGGGGCCU
ensembl:Mt_tRNA